rnacentral:lncRNA from 1 species
UUUUUUUUUUUUUUUUUUUUUUUUUUUUUGUCUUUUUGCCUUCUCUAGGGCCGCUUCCCACAGCACAUGGAGGUUCCCAGGAAAGAACCCAUUCAGUCUACAUAGGGAUUGAAGGUCUGUCUCAAAUUAUUUGGGUGAGUACCAAAGAACAUAUUUAUUGGUGUUAUGAAGGAAGCUGUUAGGAGAAAAAUGCAAACUUCUGUACUCUGUUCCGUUUCUGCCCACAGUGUGUGUUAUUUAAACAGGUCCACACCCCUUGCUGUACAUCUACUAGGUCCCAGGCAUUCCUGUACAGUGCUCUAAGGAUACAAAGAUGAGCGAAACCCAACCUCAGAAGAGCUUAUAUUCCAGUCAAAUGUUACAAGGGCUAGGCAGGAUUUUCAAGUGACAUAAGAGAAACGCAAACAGCAACCAACAGGAGUCAUAAAUCUUUGUUACCCAGCAAAGAUAGUCCAUGUUAUCAAAUUUAUCAUGUGUGAUGCUCUUGACAGGAAAUAAAAAAUAUACAAUGCACGUCGGAAUGAGGCAUAUUUGACAUCUACGAGUACUUCACACAGUCCUCAGUGGUUAAAAACAGCUGCUUGUAUUUAUCUGCUACCCCCCUAUACCCACUUCAUUACAGACCUGCUCUCGUUUAACCUCCCAACAACCUUCUAAAACAGGUACUAGCAUCAUCCCCAUUUUACAGAUCAGGUAACAGAGGCUUGGCAGUACCUGGACCUGAACCCAGGUUAUCUGACUCCAAAAGCAUGAGCUGAACCACCCACCCCCUCUUGAACCUGUCCCUUUAAAAUGCAAAGGCAGGCGUUCCCAUCAAGGCUCAGUGGUAACCAACCUGACUGGUAUCCAUGAGGACGCAGGUUCGAUCCCUGGCCUCACUCAGUGGGUUAAGGAUCUGCCACUGCCAUGAGCUGUGGUGUAGGCCGGCAGCUACAGCUCCAAUUCGACCCCUAGCCUGGGAACCUCCAUGUGCCAUGGAUGUGGCCCUAAAAAGCAAGGUAAACAAAUAAAUAAAAUGCAAAGGCAAUGCUAUUACAGCCCAAUGGCAGGGUGCACAUUUUGUCAAACCAAGCCCGUGGUUCUCAACCGGGGCAAUUUGGAACCCCCACGGGACAUGUGACAAGAUCUAAAGACAUUUGUGGUUGUCACAUUUUUGUUGGGUGCUAGCAGCAUGGAGAGGGCAGAGGCCACGCUGGUGCCAAACAGAUAUGUCCUGCCAUGCACAGGACAGUCCCCUGUGUGACAAGGAGUCAUCCAGCCCCAAAUGUCCCAGGUGCUCAGAUGGAGGAAGCUGCACUAAGCCACCUGAGCUCAUCCUGCCUGCAAAGACAGGCACACUUCCAGUCCAGGCCUCAACUGGUGUAGAGGCUGGGGUAACCAAGUGCUUUUUCCCAGCUGGUACCCUUAAAAAAAAUGGGGUUUUGUGAAGAUGCUUCAAAGAGUCCACACAUAAUUUGACUCUAAUGUUGCUUUCCACAACAUGCUAGAGGAUAAAGAAAUAUACAGUAUCUGUACCUACUUUCAAGCUUUACUUAUUUUUUCAAUCUCAAGAUAUUACUCAUUAAAAUAGUAAACAAGCCACCAGCCAUCCAGGGGUUUUGGUGGAACCCUCAGGAAGAAUGGUCUAGUGCCACUUCUGCCGAACUGAAGGAUACGUGGAAAAUUCAAGGUAAACCACUGAAAAAAAAAAAAUUGCACCCACUUAUCUGUCUGACCAGGAUUUGAUACCAUGCAACCAAACCAAACUCCAGAAACAAAUUAAGUGCUCAGCUUGAUAAGCCUGCAAAUGUCAGCCAUAACCCACUUAGAAACGUCUGUGCACAGCCGAAUGGCCCCAUGAUUCCUAGGGACUUUAUAAAAAGUAAAUACUAUCAUAAAGUGCAACUUAGAAAAUGGAGUUACGAAGAAAACACCACCAGCUGAUUGCCACAGACCAGACCUCUUCACCUACGGGCUGUGGCCCAGAAGGGGGGACACCUCUGGCAGGUAGAACAGUGGUUUUCCAUUCUUGCCGGUUGUUCUCCUCCAAGACAACCAGACAUUCCCUCUGCAUCCUCACCAGCCCUCUUACAAGACCAUGCAGGCUGAGCCCCAGGUGCCUUAAUAUGGUGGAGGAUGAACAGACCCAAGUCUCUCAACUCAUACAAACACAAUGAUACAGUUAGAACAGAGAGAGAGUAAAAACCGGUAAGGCAAUCCUGUAAAACUGGAUUGUGUCUUUAAUCUGGCCAAUGUAAUGCAACUGCUACUGGCUCAGACAAGACCCUAACUUCUCCUUGGAAGAUGGACAUGAAGCUGCCUUGGACCCCUGGCUUCUUGUCUCCUCCGUGUUGGGAGACCUCAGACAAGGCAAUCCACCCACCUCUCGGCUCCCCAGCUUCCUCGCCUUUCAAAAUGGGCUCCACCUUCGCUCCCACUCCAAGAGUGGUCUGGAGAGCAUCACACUCUGGGGGCCAUGUUAGAAAUGCAGACUCUCAGGCCCCACCCUGGAACGAGGAAUCCUGCACCUGCACUUUCACAUGACAGGGAAGUGCCAGCAGUACGGAGGCUGCCAGACCCCGCCUCAGCUUCAGGGUCCCAUAGCCCCUUGCCCGUGACAGCAGACUCCCGCCUUCUCCCACGGGUACAGUGAUCAUCACUGGUUAUCUGCUGGAGGAAUGUUCUCCAAAGAGAGACCGACUCCCACCAUGGCACAGACGUCCCUUAAAGGACUCUGAAUGCAACCAAGCUUUUCUCCCCCAGGGACAGGGAGUCAAGCUAACAUGAGCCCCCACACAAACAAAAGAGGUUACAACAGCUGUUCUCAUGAAAUGAUGGGCUUCAGAAUCCUCCAAAGAGUGGGACAGGGUACAGACUCCUACAGUCCUGAGGCCAUGGCAUCAUCUUUAGUGCUCCCCCCCUGCCCCCACCCUGGGGAUCAUAAUGUGCCGCCAGAGCUGGGCAACAAAACCCUUGCCCAUCAGUUCUCAAAUACUGCCUGAAAACUGGUUAAAGCUGCAAAUGUCAGGACCUACCCUGACCUACAGAACCUGAAACGCUGGUGGAGCCAUGAUCUGCAUCUCGACAAACCCUCCUGGUGAUGCUUGCUCACAGCUGUGAUACACAGACCCAGUCCUAAUGAAGGAAGCACUCCAGGGGAUUAAGCCCAGAAUUCUCCAUUUCUGAGCAGCUCCCCAGGCAGUUCCUUGGUACACAGCCCAGAGAGCUGGUUGGUCGCCACUGCGUCCCCCAGACCCUGCUGAGCCUGAGGUCGAGGCCGAGGCUGUGUGGUUCAGGCUCUCUCCAGUCUGAAUCCUAAUGCCUUGAUCAGGCAAAAACAGCUUGGAUAUCUGAGUCUCCACUUCCUCACUUACAAAAUGGGGAUGAUGGUGGGCAGAGCAGCUACACCAUUCGGGUUUCCUUCUGUGUUGUUAUGAAGAAUCGAUCAAUAAUUCACACACAGCACUUAACACCAGACCCAACGCAUCGGGAGAAUUCAAUAAGCAGAAGCUGCUAUUAUUAUCAGCUGUUGUUACUGCCUCUGACUCCAAAGACCAAGCACAUUAUUGCCCGAGCUACUCUAUCAAAAACAAAGAAAUGCCUCUUCCUGAGCCUUGCAAAAGUUACCUGGCUCUCUUCACGUAAGCGGGGAGACGGAAAGGCGUCCACAGCUCAUCAGGACCUAAGGGCAGUCUAGUUUCUCACUCACAAUGAGAAAAAGUUAUCCGCAUCAAGUACCUGGCCAGCCUUCAAUUUUUACUCAGCUAGUGAAAAUGACUGAGCAGACGAUAAGUGAUCAAUUGACUGAUGUCAGAAGCCUCUGGGGUCAGAAAUCAGAACCCUGAUUAAAAAUGCAAACUCCUGGGGAAUUCCCUGGUAGCUCACCGGGUUAAGGAUUCAGUGUUAUCACUGCUGUGGCAUGGGUUUGAUCCCUGGCCAGAGGACUUCUGCAGGCCACAGGUGUAACCGGAAAAAAAAAAAAAAAAAAA